CUCUUUUUGAAUUUAAUUUAAAGUUAGGCCUGCCCACUGAAUUUUGAAGGGCCGCAGUAUUUUGACUGUGCAAAGGUAGCAUAAUCAAUAGUUUUUUAAUUGAAAGCUUGUAUGAAUGGUUUGAUGAGAAAAUUUCUGUUUCAAUUUAAAUAAUAGAAUUUUAUAUUUAAGUAAAAAAGCUUAAAUUUAAUUUAAAGACGAGAAGACCCUAUAGAGUUUAACUAAAAGUAAUUUUUAAAAUUAAGGAAUUUUUUGUUUAAAAAUUAAUUAAGUUUUGUUGGGGUGAUAGAAAAAUUAAAUUAACUUUUUUUUUAUUAAAACAAUAUUUUUUGAGUUUUUGAUCCAUAAAAAUGAUUAGAAGAAUAAAUUACCUUAGGGAUAACAGCGUAAUUUUUUUUGAAAGUUCUUAUUGAAAAAAAGGAUUGCGACCUCGAUGUUGGAUUAAAAUUAAUUUUUGGUGGAGAAGCUAUUAAAUUAGGUCUGUUCGACCUUUAAAAUUUUACAUGAUCUGAGUUU
rnacentral:rRNA from 1 species